rnacentral:rRNA from 1 species
GGAGACAGGUGCUGCAUGGCUGUCGUCAGCUCGUGUCGUGAGAUGUUGGGUUAAGUCCCGCAACGAGCGCAACCCUCGCCCUUAGUUGCCAGCAUUCGGUUGGGCACUCUAAGGGGACUGCCGGUGAUAAGCCGAGAGGAAGGUGGGGAUGACGUCAAGUCCUCAUGGCCCUUACGGGCUGGGCUACACACGUGCUACAAUGGUGGUGACAGUGGGCAGCGAGACCGCGAGGUCGAGCUAAUCUCCAAAAGCCAUCUCAGUUCGGAUUGCACUCUGCAACUCGAGUGCAUGAAGUUGGAAUCGCUAGUAAUCGUGGAUCAGCAUGCCACGGUGAAUACGUUCCCGGGCCUUGUACACACCGCCCGUCACACCAUGGGAGUUGGUUUUACCCGAAGG